GACGAACGCUGGCGGCGUGCUUAACACAUGCAAGUCGAACGGAAAGGCCCUUCGGGGUACUCGAGUGGCGAACGGGUGAGUAACACGUGGGUGAUCUGCCCUGCACUUUGGGAUAAGCCUGGGAAACUGGGUCUAAUACCGGAUAGGACUACGGCCUGCAUGGGUUGUGGUGGAAAGCUUUUGCGGUGUGGGAUGGGCCCGCGGCCUAUCAGCUUGUUGGUGGGGUGAUGGCCUACCAAGGCGACGACGGGUAGCCGGCCUGAGAGGGUGACCGGCCACACUGGGACUGAGAUACGGCCCAGACUCCGUACGGGAGGCAGCAGGUGGGGAAUAUUGCACAAGUGGGCGCAAGCCUGAUGCAGCGACGCCGCGGU
rnacentral:rRNA from 1 species